rnacentral:lncRNA from 1 species
UAUUCUCUCUCACCCACCCUUUCUUCUAAGACCUUGUUGAAUGGGGACUGGAUUUCCCUGGCCUUGUCCCUUCUACUUGUGGAAAUGGCAGUCAGAGUUCUUAUCAUCGUCCAAGAGGGCUGAGAUAUACGACUGCAAAAAGUCCUGGUGCAAAAGGGUGGUGAGAACAUUGGUUGUAAAGCCAAGUAGUGCCCAAGGAAGGUUUAGGGUUUAGAGUUUUUUCCGGAUAUAUGAGCCAAGAAAAUUGAUGAAAUCAGGAGUCAAAAAAAUAGAUGCAGGUACCUUCUAGGGUCAUGCAUCGUGGGUGUUAGCUCGGCAGCAUGGCUACAUGUUCUUGGUUCUUGGCGUAGAUCAUUCAGUGGGUGGAGUUCUUG